ACGCUCAUCUGGGUUAUACUUGACUCUAAGUAUACUCUGGAUUCUAUCCUCAGAAUCUUUAUCUUCUGCUAACCUAGUUUUCAUCCAUGAAGCAGAUUCCUCCUCUAGUUAAAGCCCUCUUCUUUCUCUUUCAAAGUCAAACUUCUUAAGAAAAUGUUCCAUACUCAUCUUAUCUCUCAGCCAGCUGAGUGCUCUUGCUUCUCCCCUUCCAAAACCAUUCUACCUACUGCCUAAUUCCAAUCUCCAUUCACACAGCCACAUUAUCCUGAAUACUGUGAACUGAGACCAGCCGGGAUCUAUUUGCUUAUUACUUCUUGUCUAACCACUUGCCUACUAAAGAACUCAGCUUAAACAUCCACCAACACCUAUCACAUAGCGUAAUAGUGAAAAGAAUUUAAUGUGUUUUGCUAAGGUUCUCCCAGUUCUUUAACCUAUUUUCUCCUGCUCUUGACCUUUGUAGUUUUGCCUCUAACUCCCAGUGAUUCUUCAAGUCACAAUUUGGGCAUCACAUCAUCCAAGAAGGUGUCCUUGACAAAUUACAGAUCUCAUUAAAAAUAUAUAUUAUUUCUUUAACAUGGGCACAGAAAAAAAUUGAGAAAUAGAUAGUAUGCAUUCUAAUCAGGCAGGUCUACUCUUAUUACAUCAAAAAAAUACUUAAAGUGACUUGUUCUUCAUGUUAACCACACUUUUUAAAAGGGUAAAAAUGUUAAAAUAAAACUAAAAUAGGUGUAGCAAAACAAGUUAUCUAUACAUGAACAAACUGUCAAAACUAAGAAAAACAUAAAAAAUGAAAUAAGUGAGAUGCUACUGGUUAUGCCUAUAAUCCUAAUUACUCAGGAGACUGAUAGAUGAAAAACCAGUUUGAAGCCAACUCAGACAGAAAUUUCUGUGACUCCAUCUCCAAUUAACCAGCAAAAUUCUGGACUGGAGUCAUGGAUCAAAUUGUAGGGUACUAACUGUGAGCAACCAAGUUGAGAGAGAAUGUAAGGCCUGAGUUCAAUCCCUGGUACAAAAAUAAUUAUACUGCUUACAAUGAGCAGUUUACCAGGUAGUUUAUUUACUAUGACUAAAAUAACAGGUUCUGUCUUUUCAUUUCUACACUCUUGUUUUCAAAAGCAGCUUAAUGUUAUCAUAAAGGACACGAAUAGUCUUCAUCUAAAAGGAGUUAAUUAAUUAUUAAUUAGUGUUUAUAUACUAUACCAGUAAAUGUAAUUUUAGCGGAAUAAGAGGAAAUAGUGGAGACUGGCAAGUUCACUAUGACUCAGCCUUACAUUUGUGGCAUCAGCUUCAAGAACAAAAUCCGAACAUUGUCAUGGUAUAAUAAGGUACUCUAUUCUGGAAAUCUUGUUUUGGCUUCAUUUUACUGACUAAUUUAUAAAACAAGAAAUAUCUGACUUCUUUUAGUUUACAAAAUUCUUUCUAUCCAGUACCACAAACAUGUAUGGAGAUCUGCUGAAUCCUCAUCACAAUUCACUGUAGCAUUUAUACUAAGCACAGUCAUAAAAGACAGUUGGAGUGGGAGUAAAUGUGGCACCUCUGGACAUCAACAGAGGGUGCCCUUUUAAUCAAUUGCCCUUUUCUAAAAACAAAGCAGGAGAUGAGAGCCCCAGCUCAAGUUGUGACACUAACUUGGCUUAUGACCUUCAGCAAUUCUCUUGGCUUUUCUGAAACCACAUUUAAACAGGAAAGAGCUGGAUAAAGGCACCUCAAAGUUUCUCCAGCACUGACAUUCAGUGUUUAGUUAGAUAUAGCUUAGCACAUAAGCUAUAUAUUAAAAAAAUAUUUUGCUUCAAAAAUCUGUCUUAUGCACAUUUGUUUACCAACCACUACCUUCCUCCCAUCAAUGGAUCCUACAUAAACAGCAAGACUAGUUUUCUGACAGACCUUCAGAGCCUCAUAAGUUCUUAUUUAGUGAUGCCAAGAGAUUAACACAUCGUUAGAGCAAUCACCAUUAUCUGAUACAUAUUUAAAACAGAGUCAAAUUCCACCAUCAUUUGAAGAAAGUUUUCUAACUCAACUUAUUUAUUAACAGAGAAAAAAUAAACACUAAGAGGUAAAAAGUAUUCUUGUAUCUAAAAGAAUAAUGACAAUUUAAAACUUUGUGUCCCCUUUAGUAGACUCCUCUAUAAAAAUGCCAGGUACCUGACCAUUUUAGACAUUUUGCCCAUGUGACAAAUAAAUUGUAAUUAGAUAGACUGUAAUUGUAGUGUGGUACCAACAUACUACCCACUUGACAGCCUGCCCAUUCUGUUCAGACCACUGCCAUAUUCCCCUUCUCGGAUCUCACAUAAAGACAUGGGAGGUCAACAGAUGAUCGUAAAUCCCACUCUGCUUCCCAUGACAGCCCUACAGCAAAGAAAGGAGUCCUCUCUUGAUUAUGGCAGAUCAGAGGAAAGAAAGGUGAAGUGGUAUGUUCAAGGCCAGAUAGUCAGAAACUGCCAGAGCUGGGAUCACAAUCAGGAUUAAUAAAACAAACAAAAGGCUCAUCCUCCUUUCACUAUUCUAUGAUUAGUCCUAGAUGUAAGGAACUUUUUUGAUCUACUUAUUUCCAAAAUAAUAACAAUGGAAUCAGAUCAGAUAUUAUCAUGGACCUAAAUAUAUCCAUGAAGCUUCCUUGAUAAGAUUUCUUCAUAAAUAAAGUACAGAUCCCUCCU